GAUGAACGCUGGCGGCGUGCCUAGUACAUGCCAGUCGAGCGAGCAGACGAGGAGCUUGCUCCUCUGACGUUAGCGGCGGACGGGUGAGUAACACGUGGAUAACCUACCUAUAAGACUGGGAUAACUUCGGGAAACCGGAGCUAAUACCGGAUAAUAUAUUGAACCGCAUGGUUCAAUAGUGAAAGACGGUUUUGCUGUCACUUAUAGAUGGAUCCGCGCCGCAUUAGCUAGUUGGUAAGGUAACGGCUUACCAAGGCGACGAUGCGUAGCCGACCUGAGAGGGUGAUCGGCCACACUGGAACUGAGACACGGUCCAGACUCCUACGGGAGGCAGCAGUAGGGAAUCUUCCGCAAUGGGCGAAAGCCUGACGGAGCAACGCCGCGUGAGUGAUGAAGAUCUUCGGAUCGUAAAACUCUGUUAUUAGGGAAGAACAAAUGUGUAAGUAACUAUGCACGUCUUGACGGUACCUAAUCAGAAAGCCACGGCUAACUACGUG
rnacentral:rRNA from 1 species